rnacentral:rRNA from 1 species
GACGUAGGGCGCGAGCGUUGUCCGGAUUUAUUGGGCGUAAAGAGCUCGUAGGCGGCUUGUUGCGUCGACUGUGAAAGCCCGUGGCUUAACCGCGUGGUCUGCAGUCGAUACGAGCAAACUAGAGUGUUGCAGGGGAGACUGGAAUUCCCGGUGUAGCGGUGAAAUGCGCAGAUAUCGGGAGGAACACCAGUAGCGAAGGCGGCACUCUGGGCCGGAACUGACGCUGAGGAGCGAAAGCGUGGGUAGCAAACAGG